CUUGGCUUACAGCUGGAGGCAGCUUUCUGCUCAGGCCACUGUGGAGAAUGACAUAGGCAGACGACAUCAUCACUGAGCAGUAACUUCUAUUACAUACAGGCAGACUGUGAUAUUUCAGAAUCGGGGCAAGACAUGAGAGAAGCAAAGGAGUAGCUGCAAAGUUUUGGACAAGACCUCUAUAGGCAACUGGAAGCAUAGUGUACCCAGGUGGUGUGUCUCUGACAAUAUAUUUUUCUGGCUGUAAAGGGAAUAAAAACCCCAUGUAAUCUC